UCCGCCUGGGAACUACGAGCAUUAGCUUAAAACCCAAAGGACUUGGCGGUGCUUUAGAUCCCUCUAGAGGAGCCUAUUCUAGAACCGAUAACCCCCGUUUAACCUCACCUUCUCUUGUCCUCUCCGCCUAUAUACCGCCGUCGUCAGCAUACCCUGUGAAGGAACCAUAGUAAGCAAAAUUGGCAAUGCCCAAAACGCCAGGUCGAGGUGUAGCAUAUGAGAAGGGAAGAAAUGGGCUACAUUUCCUCAUUGAGGAAAUACGAAUUGUGCCAUGCAACAGCACAUGAAGGAGGAUUUAGCAGUAAGUGGUAAGCAGAGUGUCCC
rnacentral:rRNA from 1 species